rnacentral:rRNA from 1 species
UACGUAGGGGGCAAGCGUUGUCCGGAUUCAUUGGGCGUAAAGAGCGUGUAGGCGGCCAGGUAGGUCGGUUGUGAAAACUGGAGGCUCAACCUUCAGAGGUCGACCGAAACCAUCUGGCUAGAGUCCGGGAGAGGAGAGUGGAAUUCCUGGUGGUAGCGGUGAAAUGCGCAGAUAUCAGGAAGAACACCCGUGGCGAAAGCGGCUCUCUGGAACGGUACUGACGCUGAGACGCGAAAGCGUGGGGGAGCGAACAGG